rnacentral:rRNA from 1 species
UGGGGAAUAUUGGACAAUGGGGGGAACCCUGAUCCAGCCAUGCCGCGUGUGUGAAGAAGGCCUUAUGGUUGUAAAGCACUUUAAGCGAGGAGGAGGGUACUGGUAUUAAUACUACCAGGUACUGGACGUUACUCGCAGAAUAAGCACCGGCUAACUCUGUGCCAGCAGCCGCGGUAAUACAGAGGGUGCGAGCGUUAAUCGGAUUUACUGGGCGUAAAGCGUGCGUAGGCGGCUAAUUGAGUCGGAUGUGAAAUCCCUGAGCUUAACUUGGGAAUUGCAUUCGAUACUGGUUAGCUAGAGUGUGGGAGAGGAUGGUAGAAUUCCAGGUGUAGCGGUGAGAUGCGUGGAGAUCUGGAGGAAUACCGAUGGCGAAGGCAGCCAUCUGGCCUAACACUGACGCUGAGGUACGAAAGCAUGGGGAGCAAACAGG